rnacentral:pre_miRNA from 1 species
AUUAUCUGGGGGUCUUGUUAAAAUGCAGGUUCCGAUUCAGUAGGUCCGAGAUUCUGGGUUUCUGACAAGCUCCCAGGUGAUGCUGA